rnacentral:ncRNA from 1 species
UGUUUCAGGGCGAGGUGAAAUUCCUCACCGGCGGUAUAGUCCGCGAACCGUGCAAACGGCUGAACCGGUGAAAUUCCGGUACCGACGGUAUAGUCCGGAUGGAAGAAA